GCCCCGUUGGCUCAAUUGGCAGAGCAGCUGUUUUGUAAUCAGCAGGUUGGGAGUUCGAGUCUCUCACGGGGCA
rnacentral:tRNA from 1 species